rnacentral:rRNA from 1 species
GACGAACGCUGGCGGCGUGCCUAAUACAUGCAAGUAGAACGCUGAAGAGAGGAGCUUGCUCUUCUUGGCUGAGUUGCGAACGGGUGAGUAACGCGUAGGUAACCUGCCUGGUAGCGGGGGAUAACUAUUGGAAACGAUAGCUAAUACCGCAUAAAAUGGAUUAUCGCAUGAUAAUCCAUUGAAAGGUGCAAAUGCAUCACUACCAGAUGGACCUGCGUUGUAUUAGCUAGUUGGUGGGGUAACGGCUCACCAAGGCGACGAUACAUAGCCGACCUGAGAGGGUGAUCGGCCACACUGGGACUGAGACACGGCCCAGACUCCUACGGGAGGCAGCAGUAGGGAAUCUUCGGCAAUGGACGGAAGUCUGACCGAGCAACGCCGCGUGAGUGAAGAAGGUUUUCGGAUCGUAAAGCUCUGUUGUAAGAGAAGAACGAGUGUGAGAGUGGAAAGUUCACACUGUGACGGUAUCUUACCAGAAAGAGACGGCUAACUACGUG